rnacentral:other from 1 species
AUCGUCCUGCCUGGCGCGUGAUGGGCGGAACGCUUCAAGCUCUAUAUCAUUUAGCCCGGGACCAGCUUCCAUGCGCGGUGAGCAAGCCCUUCGAUGGGAAGCCUGAAGCGCAACAGUUGGACCCAGUAUCUAGAUAUACAUGGGCUAAAGCCAACCGUUCACACGACCAAGGCGGGUCUUUU